UACGUAGGGUGCGAGCGUUGUCCGGAAUUACUGGGCGUAAAGAGCUCGUAGGCGGUCUGUCGCGUCUGCUGUGAAAACUCGGGGCUUAACCCCGGGCCUGCAGUGGGUACGGGCAGACUAGAGUGCGGUAGGGGAGACUGGAAUUCCUGGUGUAGCGGUGAAAUGCGCAGAUAUCGGGAGGAACACCAGUAGCGAAGGCGGCUCGCUGGGCCAUUCCGUGACGCUGAGGCGCGAAAGCUAGGGGAGCGAACAGG
rnacentral:rRNA from 1 species